rnacentral:tRNA from 1 species
UCCUGGUUAGCUCAAUUGGUAGAGCGACCGUCCCGAAUAGGCGUUGGUCCCGGGUUCGAUCCCCGGACCAGGAC